rnacentral:rRNA from 1 species
AACGUAGGAGACAAACGUUAUCCGGAGUUACUGGGCGUAAAGGGCGUGUAGGCGGUUUCGUAAGUCUGGCGUGAAAUUUUUCGGCUUAACCGGGAAAGGUCGUCGGAUACUGCGGAACUAGAGGACGGUAGAGGCGUGUGGAAUUCCGGGUGUAGUGGUGAAAUGCGUAGAGAUCCGGAGGAACACCAGUGGCGAAGGCGACACGCUGGGCCGUACCUGACGCUGAUGCGCGAAAGCUAGGGGAGCAAACAGG